rnacentral:rRNA from 1 species
AGAGUUUGAUCCUGGCUCAGAACGAACGCUGGCGGCGUGCCUAACACAUGCAAGUCGCGCGAGAAAAGGGGGGCAACCCCCUGAGUAAAGCGGCGCACGGGUGAGUAACACGUAGGUGACCUACCUUCGAGUCUAGAAUAACCUACCGAAAGGUGGGCUAAUGCCGGAUAUGACCACGGGAAUCUCGGUUCCUGCGGUGAAAGGUGGCCUCUGCUUGCAAGCUACCGCUCAAAGAUGGGCCUGCGCGCCAUUAGCUAGUUGGUGAGGUAACGGCCCACCAAGGCGAUGAUGGCUAGCUGGUCUGAGAGGAUGGCCAGCCACACUGGGACUGAAACACGGCCCAGACUCCUACGGGAGGCAGCAGUGGGGGAUAUUGCGCAAUGGGCGAAAGCCUGACGCAGCGACGCCGCGUGGGUGAUGAAGGCCUUCGGGUCGUAAAGCCCUGUCGAGGGGAAAGAAACGGCUCCGACCUAACACGUCGGGGCCCUGACGGUACCCCUAAAGGAAGCACCGGCUAACUCCGUGCCAGCAGCCGCGGUAAUACGGAGGGUGCGAGCGUUGUUCGGAAUCACUGGGCGUAAAGGGCGUGUAGGCGGUUCGCUAAGUCUGAUGUGAAAGCCCGGGGCUCACCCCCGGAAGUGCAUUGGAAACUGGCGGACUCGAGUCCCGGAGAGGAGGGUGGAAUUCCUGGUGUAGCGGUGAAAUGCGUAGAUAUCAGGAGGAACACCGGUGGCGAAGGCGGCCCUCUGGACGGUGACUGACGCUAAGACGCGAAAGCGUGGGGAGCAAACAGGAUUAGAUACCCUGGUAGUCCACGCUGUAAACGAUGAGCACUAGGUGUCGUGGGUAUUGACCCCCGCGGUGCCGCAGCUAACGCAUUAAGUGCUCCGCCUGGGGACUACGGCCGCAAGGUUAAAACUCAAAGGAAUGACGGA